rnacentral:rRNA from 1 species
AUUGAACGCUGGCGGCAGGCUUAACACAUGCAAGUCGAGCGGUAACAKKWSWAGCUUGCUWSWMGMUGACGAGCGGCGGACGGGUGAGUAAUACUUAGGAAUCUACCUAGUAGUGGGGGAUAGCACGGGGAAACUCGUAUUAAUACCGCAUACGACCUACGGGAGAAAGGGGGCAGUUUACUGCUCUCGCUAUUAGAUGAGCCUAAGUCGGAUUAGCUAGAUGGUGGGGUAAAGGCCUACCAUGGCGACGAUCUGUAGCUGGUCUGAGAGGAUGAUCAGCCACACCGGGACUGAGACACGGCCCGGACUCCUACGGGAGGCAGCAGUGGGGAAUAUUGGACAAUGGGGGAAACCCUGAUCCAGCCAUGCCGCGUGUGUGAAGAAGGCCUUUUGGUUGUAAAGCACUUUAAGCAGUGAAGAAGACUCCRUGGUUAAUACCCAYGGACGAUGACAUUAGCUGCAGAAUAAGCACCGGCUAACUCUGUGCCAGCAGCCGCGGUAAUACAGAGGGUGCAAGCGUUAAUCGGAAUUACUGGGCGUAAAGGGAGCGUAGGUGGCUCKAUAAGUCAGAUGUGAAAUCCCCGGGCUYAACCUGGGAACUGCAUCUGAAACUGUAGAGCUAGAGUAUGUGAGAGGAAGGUAGAAUUCCAGGUGUAGCGGUGAAAUGCGUAGAGAUCUGGAGGAAUACCGAUGGCGAAGGCAGCCUUCUGGCAUAAUACUGACACUGAGGCUCGAAAGCGUGGGUAGCAAACAGGAUUAGAUACCCUGGUAGUCCACGCCGUAAACGAUGUCUACUAGUCGUUGGGUCCCUUGAGGACUUAGUGACGCAGCUAACGCAAUAAGUAGACCGCCUGGGGAGUACGGCCGCAAGGUUAAAACUCAA